rnacentral:rRNA from 1 species
GACAUGUACGGAAGCCUUUAGAGAUAGAGGCGUGCUACGAAAGAGAGCCGUAACACAGGUGCUGGCAUGGCUGUCGUCAGCUCGUGUCGUGAGAUGUUGGGUCAAGUCCCGCAACGAGCGCAACCCUUGUCAUUAGUUGCUACAUUCAGCUGGGCACUCUAAUGAGACUGCCGGUGACAAGCCGGAGGAAGGUGGGGAUGACGUCAAGUCCUCAUGGCCCUUAUAGGUGGGGCUACACACGUCAUACAAUGGCUGGUAACAAAGGGUUGCCAACCCGCGAGGGGGAGCUAAUCCCAUAAAGCCAGUCGUAGUCCGGAUCGUAGUCUGCAACUCGACUACGUGAAGUCGGAAUCGCUAGUAAUCGUGGAUCAGAAUGUCACGGUGAAUACGUUCCCGGGUCUU